CCCGGGCGCCCGAGCCCCGGCCGGCCCGGCGGGCGGCGGAGAGGAAGGGCUGCUGCAAGGGGCGCAGCCGCGACUGUGGCGUGUGCGUGGGGGGCAGGGGCCCCUACUCACCCUGGCCGGCCGCCUCCGCCUCCGCCGCCCCGACCGCCGCCUCGGCGGUCCAUCCUGCGGCGGGGGGCCUGUAGCCGCGGCGCUCGAGUAACAACCGCCGGCCGGGCCGGCCCCUCCCCCCCGCCCAACGUCUGUCCUCAGGGCCGCUCCGCAGACCCGGCCUCGGCCGCCGCCGCCGCCGCCGCCGCCGCAGCGCUACGUGGCCGCCGCUCCGACGUCUCGCGACUCCCUUCCGAGCGCGCGAGGGCGAGCGGGGCCGGCGGGGCGGGCGGCGCGCGGGGAGGGAGGCAGGGGAGGGGGUGUGCGUGUGUGGUUGUGUGUGCGGAGCCGGGGGCAGGGAGGGAGGGCGAGCGGCGGCGAGAGCGCGCGCGCGCCCGCGGCCCCGUCCCUCGCCCGCCCCCCCGCCCAACGGGGAGCCGACACCUCCCUCCGCCCGCCCCCCUGGCAUCCCGGCCGCUGGGCGCGGCGGCGCGCAUGCGCAGCCCCCUCGGGCCGGCCCCGGCGCACCUUUUCUCCCCGCUGCCACAAUGUGAGCGCCCCGCCGCCCAGAUAACCGCCGGCUCCCGCUCCACCCCCGCCCUCCCCCACUCCGCCCACUGCCGAGCGCCCAGGACCCUAGGACUCGUCCCCGUGUAUUCGAGGCCUUGGUGACUGGUACUUUGGAAGGCGUUGGGUCUUGGGCUAGCAAGGAGAUCCCGGUUUCUCUGCUGUCCCUUAACUUUUCCCUUUCAUGCAUCGACCCCCAGAAGAGGGCUACCGGCCAGUGUCCUCGCUCAACAUGUCACAAGAAGGAGCAUUUGCUCUCAGCCGGACUCCCUCAUUCCAUGCCUCCCUUCCUCAGCUGCUGGUACCAUAGCUCAGCAGGCAUCACAGACAACAUUUAGCACCUACAUCUGGCCUUACUGGAAGAUUAGGCUUCUUUCACCCUGGUUUCCUGGCCUUGGAUAGUCCUUCGCUAAUUUCUUCAUUAAGAGAGUGGACAAAGGCAAACCGUGAGAGACUCUUAAAAACUGAAAGUAAACUGAGGGUUGAUGGGGGGGGUGAGAGGGAGGGGAAAGUGGGUGAUGGGCCUGGAGGAGGGCACCUGUGCAGAUGAGCACUGGGUGUUGUACGGAAACCAACGUGACAAUAAAUUUCAUCUUAAAAAAAAGAAUUAUUGAAUC
rnacentral:lncRNA from 1 species